GUUGGGGGGCGUUAAUUGGGCGUUGGAGGUCGUUAAUUGGGUGUUGGCCAACGGUUGGCCACUGUUGGUCAUCGUUGGGCCACUACUGGUCAUUUUUGGGCCACUAUUGGCCAUUUUUGGGCCACUAUCGGUCAUUUUUGGGCCACUAUUGGCCAUUUUUGGGCAACUGUUGGCCAUCGGUUGAGCGUUGGUCAUCAUUGGGCUACUGGUGGCCAUCGUUGGGCUACUGGUGGCCAUUGGUUGAGCGUUGACCAUCGUUGGGCUACUAUUGGCCAUUUUUGGGCCACUAUUGGCCAUCAGUUGAGCGUUGGCCAUCAUUGGGCUACUGUUCGUCAUCAUUGGGCCACUGUUGGUCAUCGUUGGGCUACUGUUGGCCAUCAGUUGAGCGUUGACCAUCGUUGGGCCACAAUUGGCCACCGUUGGGCUACUAUUGGUCAUCGUUGGGCCACUAUUGGCCAUCGGUUGGGCGUUGGCCAUCAGUUGGACCUUGUUGGCCAUCGUUGGGCCACUGUUGGUCAUCGUUGGGCUACUAUUGACCAUCGUUGGGCCACUAUUGGCCAUCGCUGGGCCACUGAUAGUCAUCGUUGGGCUACUAUUGGUCAUCGUUGGGCCACUGUUGGCCAUUUUUUGGGCCACUAUUGGCCAUCAGUUGAGUGUUGGUCAUCGUUGGGCUACUAUUGACCACCGUUGGGCCACUAUUGGCCAUUUUGGGGCCACUGUUGGCCAUCGGUUGAGUGUUGGCCAUCAUUGGGCUACUGUUGGUCAUUGUUGGGCUACUGUUGGCCAUCGGUUGAGCGUUGGUCAUCGUUGGGCCACUGUUGACUAUCAUUGGGCUACUGUUGGUCAUCGUUGGGCCACUAUUGGCCAUUUUUGGGCCACUACUGGCCAUUGGUUGAGCGUUGGUCAUCGUUGGGCUACUAUUGACCAUCGUUGGGCCACUAUUGGCCAUUUUUGGGCCACUGUUGGUCAUCAGUUGAGUGUUGGUCAUCGUUGGGCCACUGGUGGCCAUCGUUGGGCUACUAGUGGCCAUCGGUUGACCGCUAUUGGUCAACGUUGGGCCACUAUUGACCACUGUUGGGCUACUAUUGGCCAUUUUUGGGCCACUGUUGGUCAUCAGUUGAGCGUUGGUCAUCGUUGGGCUACUGGUGGCCAUCGGUUGAGCGUUGACCAUCGUUGGGCUACUAUUGACCAUUUUUGGGCCACUAUUGGCCAUUUUUGGGCCACUGUUGGCCAUCGGUUGGGCGUUGGCCAUCAGUUGGACCUUGUUGACCACCGUUGGGCUACUGUUGGCCAUCGGUUGAGCGUUGGCCAUCAUUGGGCAACUGUUGGUCAUCGUUGGGCCACUAUUGGCCAUUUUUGGACCACUGUUGGCCAUCAGUUGAGUGUUGGUCAUCGUUGGGCUACUAUUAGUCAUCGUUGGGCCACUGUUGGCCAUCGGUUGACCACUGAUAGUCAUCGUUGGGCCACUAUUGACCACCGUUGGGCCACUAUUGGCCAUCAGUUGAGCGUUGGCCACCAAUUGACCACUAUUGGCCACCAAUUGACCACUAUUGAUCAUCACUGGGCCACUAUUGACCACCGUUGGGCCACUAUUGGCCAUCGUUGGGCCACUAUUGGCCAUUUUUGGGCCACUAUUGGCCAUCAGUUGAGCGUUGGCCACCGAUUGACCACUAUUGGCCACCAAUUGACCACUAUUGACCCCCGAUUGACCACUAUUGACCCCCGAUCGGCCAUCAUUGCCCCCCCCCUCCCCGUUGCCCCCCGCUUGCCCCCCCUUGCCCCCUACUUGCCCGUUGGCCCCCGGUAGCCCCCCGUGGGCCACCGCUAGCCCCCCGACCUCCUCCACCUCCCCCCCUCCACCCGACGCCGCGUCCGGUUGCUGAAAUCUUCCGCCCCCAACCCGCGACCCCUCGGUGGCCACCUGCGACCCCUCGGUGGCCACCUGGACCCCCUCGGUGGCCACUUGGGGGUCCCGGGCCACUUGGGGGUCCCGGGUGGCCACUUGGGGGUCCCGGGCCACUUGGGGGUCCCGGGUGGCCACUUGGGGGUCCCGGGUGGCCACUUGGGGGCUCUUUUGGCGGUGCCGGUGGAGGUGAACUUUGAGGUUGCCCCGGGUGGCGAAACGGUUGCCACAAACGCCGCAGCCGUAGGGCCGCUCGCCCCCGCAGCCGUGCCUAAAAACCCCGGAAUUCACCCCAAAAAUAUUUAGGGGUCGCACGGGGGGUCCCGGGGGGUCGCCCGGCAACGGGGCGGAUUCGGGGGUUCGGCCACGCGGGGCCGGCGCCAAGCGGUAGGGGGCGGCGAAAAAAACCGCCGCCUGCUCCGUUUUGGGGGGAAAAAAGGGGAAAAUGGGUUUUGGGAGAGGGUUUUGGGGUUUUUUUGGGCGCGGGGGGUGGGUUUUCGGGGGGCCCGGCGCCCCCAAAAGGAGGAGGUGGCGGCAAAUUUCUUGGGUGAGCUGCAUCUGGCGGAGCUGGCGCUGCCGCAAAACCCGCAGCUCCUCCAAAAGGAGGGGGAUGUCGAGGUU
rnacentral:lncRNA from 1 species